AUUUAUGUUUUCUUUUUAAAAGGGGCUAUGACUUGUUUUUUAUUUUAUUAUGUGUUUUAAAUUGUAGGCAGAUCAACAUGCAAUUUGAAAACGUGUGAUAAAAUACAGAGAUGUGAAGUCGUGUGUCUUUUCAGAUGCCCAAAUCAUUCCCCCUUAAAAGAUGAGCCUGAAGAGGAGAUUUGGGAAGAUGCUGUUUCAUAAGUCGCUUUGCCAGAUCACCUGUGGUCGGGAUGUCUGCUAACAAGAUGCCUUGCUGGUCUGGACGAGUUUAAAGGCUUACACAGACAGUCCAGAGGUUCAGAAGACCAUCUUCGAUCUCAUUGAUGCUGUCAUCGUAUUAAGUACAGCAUGAGCCAGAAUGGAUGGGUGGUGGUGGCCAUAAGAAGACUGUCAACUAAAUCAACA